rnacentral:tRNA from 1 species
AGGGUUGUAGUUAAAAAUUAACAUUUGAUUUGCAUUCAAAAAAUAUUGAAAUUCAAUCUACCUU